CACCCAUCAAAGCCAAGUGCAUUCACUUGCUUAACUACGGAUGUGCUCCUGGUGCUCUUUGGCUGAAGAACAUGGACAGAAUUGGAGGUUUCACUGAGACUCAGCUGAUACUCUCACCACCUUGGCCCAGGACCCUCCCUCAACUCAGUGACUGUGCAUACAUCUUUUAGGGCGUGGGCACUGGGUCCUGGUAUUUUUGUUAAAGCUCCCUAGGUGAUUAGAAUAUACAUCCUGGGUUCUGAGGGACUUUGGGAGGCUGUGGAGGGGCCAGUAGGGCAAUGCCUGUAAAGCACUGAGCUCGGACCACAUGGUGCUCAGUUACUGUGAACUGGUUCGCUUCUACGCCUCAUUCACUUUGCUGUCCCUCCCAGUAAACAUCCGUUGGAUGAGCAUUGAUGUCACGGAUGGGAGGUUGCGAAUCACAUCCGCCGUAAUACAUCUCAAUCAUCUUUCCCUCUGACUCGGUGCUCUCCCAGUCACCAGGGGUGGAGUCUGGAGUCAGAGGCUCUGGCUCGUCCCAGUGCCCUGUCCCCCCCCUCCACGUAGGAUCUCUUGGCACCCCUUCUUUUCCUAUCUCACUGACACCCCCAGUUCAGACCCCAAAGACCCCACGGUGGCUCGUGCUCUCAGUCUGCCCUCUGGUCUUCUUCUCUAUGCCGUUUAUAACAUCCAGGAGAGCUCUUUCCGGGGCUUGGCCUGACCGUGACACCCCCUCCCCCCCAGCUCAGACGCCAUCCAUGGAUCCUCAUCACCUCCUAAUGGAGUUAUCUUGACAUUCAAGGCCUACCAUAAGCCCGCCCUACCUCACACCUGGAUCACACUCAAGUGUUCUGCUCAUUAGCCCCACGGACACUCUCCAUGCCUUGUAGUCACUGUGCUUUGCUUAUGCUGACCCUGCUGCUGGCAACACCCUGCCCACCCUUAUGUCUGUGUCAUUCCCACGUAUCAUUCAAAUCCCAGCUCACAGGCUACUUCCUCCAUCCUUGCUCACCCCAACCAAAAGGGACUACUGCCCCCUUUAUGAUCUCUUAAAACCAUCUUCCCUUUGGGACUCACUCGUGACCCUCUGUCAAACCCGGAUCUGAAUUGUGAUUGUUUUUAUUCACGCUGCGUCCAUCUGUGAUAGGAGGCACUUCAGACCAGAGGGUGAGGCCCCGGGCUUUGCCAUCAGGAAACCCCGGAAUUACAAUGUGACUAUCUCCUGCUGCUAGUUCGGUGACCUUGGGCAAGUUUCUUAACUUCCCCGAGCCUCAGCUUCUUCACACGCAUAAUGGGGGGAAGCUCGUAGGGUUAUGGCAAAGAUUAAAUGAGAUAGCCAUACAUGUCGAAUGCCUCACACAGAACCUGGCAGAAACCAUGCGCUUAUAAUAACAACUCUUCUAAUUACUAGGACGGAUUCUAGAGCAGAGUGUCUCCUCUCUGGUGUGCACCCAGGUCACCCGGGGAUUUUGCUAAAAUCCAACUGUGAUUCAGGAGGUCUGGGUGAGACCCGAGAUUCUGCAUUUCCAACAAGCCCCCGGGGGUGCCCAUGCUGCUGGUCCAAGGGGCACACUUGGAGUAGCAAAGUCCUAGAGGGCCGGGCUCGUGUGUUGCAUAGCAAUAUCUCUUCCGCGGAACCUAGCAUGGUUUCCUGCACAGAGUAGGGGCAUCGUCAUGUUUUAAAAUGAAUGCAUCCUCGUGGUGGUGUAGGAAUGAUAUUGCACUCUCAGUGCCUUCCUUACUCAGAAUAUUACACACACACCCACCCCACACCAGCUAAUCUAACCUUGCGUAGGACUGAGAUUUCCCAGGGGCCCCACUGCUGUGUUUCAGAAAUCAGUGCUCCCGAGAUGGAACCGGCUGUGCUCUAACCUUAUAGCCCUGAUUAAUUCCCUCCCUUUGUUUGCCUCAUUAUCGUGAUUAGGUUCUGCCCGUAGCAUAGCAACGGCUAAUUGUAGGCUGGUUGCAGAGUGCAUAAUUCCCGCUAUUAAAAUUUUAUCGAGGCUUAAUUGUGCUUCUUUUUGCAGCAGCAAAGCUUCAAAGUUUCAGAAAAGAGGGGAUGUGGUUAGUGGGAGCCGAUGAUUUUUUAAUCUCAGCAAGCUCUGUAAAGCCCUGCUCUGCAAUAGCAUUGACCUUGAGACGGUUUCCCGUGGCCAGAAAGAAGCCCAUCAUUUAUUUAUUAACCCUCCAGAAGGUCUGCAAACAAUCCCCUGUGGCCAGGCAGAAAGCAUAUUAUGGGUCAAAUGCCAUUACAAAAAACCCCAAAGGGCAGGCCUACCAAACACUUUGGCAGCGAGGGCAUUUGGGCCGGAGAGCUGCAGUUUGCCCGCAGAAGUGGUUCGGUGUAUGACUCGCAGAAGCCCCACAGCACUCAGUACCCCUCCAAAAGCAGUGGGCUUCGAAAGUGGUUUUCUAAGAACUGGAGUGCCAGAUUGCCCUCCCAACCCCGUGCUUAGUGGUGGGUAGAAAGAGAUGAGCCCAUUAGCAGGUACUUUCUACAAGUGAUCACGUCAGCGAUCACUAGCAUCCCCUGGGGAGCUUGUUAGAGGUGCACACUUCCAGGCUCCAGCCCAGACCUGCUGAUUCACGUGGGGAUGGGGGCGAGCCGGGAACCAGUCCUCAGGUGGUACCGAUGCUGAGCCACCUUGGGACUCACUAACCUGCUGCCACGAGGGACUCUGGAAAAUAUAAAAAAGGCAGCAGAGGGGCACCUGGGUGGCUCAGUUAAAGCAAGCAACUUCUGGAGGGUUUUGUAAUCAGGCUUUGACCGGAGACAUCACGAAGGCGUUGGAUCCUGGGUCCUGAAUGCAAACGUGGUUGAAUCCAGAUGAAUCCACUACCGUUAUUAAGUCAAGCAAGGGCUUUUAAGAGGAGGUGGGAUUUUUGGCACUGCUUAAACAAAAAGGCAAGGCAUUGUUUUUGUUGAGCUGUCCUCAAGCGGGGCAAGACUUCGGGCCCCGCACAAUAACGGAAUUACGCAAAUGGCAACGGCGGUUGAAAGCUGCAGAAAUGGACAGAGGUUGGCAGCGUUGUUUUGAUCUCAGCCGAUGUGCCUGGCUGGCCUUUUACGUGGAAAGGAAAAGAUCAGAAAUGGGAACUGUCUUCUGGGGUGGAGAUGAAUUUGGGGGCGCCGUGGCCCAGGUCCUUCCCGAUUGCGCAACCAAUUCAAAGGGCUAUCCCAAAGGCCUGGACCAGGAAAGGAAGUCAGUGGAAGCGGAUAGGAGGCCAAGAGAGAAGAGAGGAGCAGACAAGAGAAUAAGGAGAAACCCUCAAACUCCAGCCUCAACACCAUCCUUCCCUGAUGCAAGCAUGCAGCGUGGGGCCGAUUCUAUGCUUCCUUCCCCCUGCUUUAUUCUAAUCUCUUUUGGGCGCAUGACUUACAGGCCUCAAGGGUUCCUCUGGGGAGAUGACUGGUGAAAAUAGAGAAGCGGUGAGCUUUCCUGUAACUCUGGGUCCCUAGAGUUAAGAGGAGAGCCAACCGUUGUGGCGGAGGCCGCCGCGGAGAUCUGCCUCUUGCCCAGACACUGCCAGGGUCUCCCAAGGAGGUUGAGAGCCUCCCAAGAGAGGCAAGUGAGCCCUGGGGAAGCAGAUCGAUGGCCCCACAGCAGCCCGCUUACCCUUUCCUUUAAAGCCUUUGAGGGGAGGGGCGCCUGGGUGGCGCAGUCGGUUGAGCGUCGGACUUCAGGCAGGUCACGAUCUCGCGGUCCGUGAGUUCGAGCCCCGCGUCAGGCUCUGGGCUGAU